rnacentral:rRNA from 1 species
AUUGAACGCUGGCGGCAGGCUUAACACAUGCAAGUCGAGCGGUAACAGAGAGAAGCUUGCUUCUCUGCUGACGAGCGGCGGACGGGUGAGUAAUGCCUAGGAAUCUGCCUAGUAGUGGGGGAUAACUUGCCGAAAGGUAAGCUAAUACCGCAUACGUCCUACGGGAGAAAGGAGGGGACCUUCGGGCCUUUCGCGAUUAGAUGAGCCUAGGUCGGAUUAGUUAGUUGGUGGGGUAAUGGCUCACCAAGACCGCGAUCCGUAACUGGUCUGAGAGGAUGAUCAGUCACACUGGAACUGAGACACGGUCCAGACUCCUACGGGAGGCAGCAGUGGGGAAUAUUGGACAAUGGGGGGAACCCUGAUCCAGCCAUGCCGCGUGUGUGAAGAAGGUCUUAGGAUUGUAAAGCACUUUAAGUUGGGAGGAAGAGCAGUUAACUAAUAUUUGACUGUUUUGACGUUACCGACAGAAUAAGCACCGGCUAACUUCGUGCCAGCCGCCGCAGUAA